rnacentral:rRNA from 1 species
AUACGUAGGGGGCGAGCGUUGUCCGGAAUUAUUGGGCGUAAAGAGCGUGUAGGCGGUUCGGUAAGUCUGCCGUGAAAACCCAGGGCUCAACCCUGGGCGUGCGGUGGAUACUGCCGGGCUAGAGGGUGGUAGAGGCGAGUGGAAUUCCCGGUGUAGCGGUGAAAUGCGCAGAUAUCGGGAGGAACACCAGUAGCGAAGGCGGCUCGCUGGGCCAUACCUGACGCUGAGACGCGAAAGCGUGGGGAGCAAACAGGA